rnacentral:rRNA from 1 species
GACGGAGGGGGCUAGCGUUGUUCGGAAUUACUGGGCGUAAAGCGCACGUAGGCGCCUUUCGAGUCAGGCGUGAAAGCCCCGGGCUUAACCCGGGAAUUGCGUUUUGAUACUGUUGGGGCUUGAGACCGGGAGAGGAUAGCGGAAUUCCCAGUGUAGAGGUGAAAUUCGUAGAUAUUGGGAAGAACACCAGUGGCGGAAGGCGGCUAUCUGGACCGGUACUGACGCUGAGGUGCGAAAGCGUGGGGAGCAAACAGG